GAGCGUUCAUUUAAAAACUGUCAAGUACUCCUUGCAAAGGGACACCUUGUACGUAAUAAUCAAAAACUAAAAAAAUUGUAGUUUUUGAAAAAAACCGAAAUUUCUGUUUUUUACAAUUAACAUGUACUUUUUUAGAUCAAAAAUUUUGCAUAACUUUUUUGUUAUUAAAGAUAGAGCUUUCAUUUAAAAACUGUCAAGUACUCCUCGCAAAGGGGCACCUUGCACGUAUUAAUCAAAAACUAAAAAAAUUGUAGUUUUUGAAAAAAACCGAAAUUUCUGUUUUUUACAAUUAACAUGUACUUUUUUAGAUCAAAAAUUUUGCAUAACUUUUUUGUUAUUAAAGAUAGAGCUUUCAUUUAAAAACUGUCAAGUACUCCUCGCAAAGGGGCACCUUGUACGUAUUAAUCAAAAACUAAAAAAAUUGUAGUUUUUGAAAAAAAUCGAAAUUUCGGUUUUUUACAAUUAACAUGUACUUUUUUAGAUCGAAAAUUUUGCAUAACUUUUUUGUUAUUAAAGAUAGAGCUUUCAUUUAAAAACUGUCAAGUACUCCUAGCGAAGGGGCACCUUGUACGUAUUAAUCAAAAACUAAAAAAUUGUAGUUUUUGAAAAAAAUCGAAAUUUCGGUUUUUUACAAUUAACAUGUACUUUUUUAGAUCGAAAAUUUUGCAUAACUUUUUUGUUAUUAAAGAUAGAGCUUUCAUUUAAAAACUGCCAAGUACUCCUCGCAAAGGGGCACCUUGCACAUAAUUAUUAAAAUUUAAAAAAUUAUAGUUUUUGAGAAAAAUCGAAAUUUCGAUUUUUUACAAUUAUCAUGUACUUUUUUAGAUCGAAAAUUUUGCAUAACUUUUUUGUUAUUAAAGAUAGAGCGUUCAUUUAAAAACUGUCAAGUACUCCUCGCAAAGGGGCACCUUGUACGUAAUAAUCAAAAACUAAAAAAAAUGUAGUUUUUGAAAAAAAUCGAAAUUUCGGUUUUUUACAAUUAACAUGUACUUUUUUAGAUCGAAAAUUUUGCAUAACUUUUUUGUUAUUAAAGAUAGAGCUUUCAUUUAAAAACUGCCAAGUACUCCUCGCAAAGGGGCACCUUGCACAUAAUUAUUAAAAUUUAAAAAAUUAUAGUUUUUGAGAAAAAUCGAAAUUUCGAUUUUUUACAAUUAACAUGUACUUUUUUAGAUCGAAAAUUUUGCAUAACUUUUUUGUUAUUAAAGAUAGAGCGUUCAUUUAAAAACUGUCAAGUACUCCUUGCAAAGGGACACCUUGUACGUAAUAAUCAAAAACUAAAAAAAUUGUAGUUUUUGAAAAAAACCGAAAUUUCUGUUUUUUACAAUUAACAUGUACUUUUUUAGAUCAAAAAUUUUGCAUAACUUUUUUGUUAUUAAAGAUAGAGCUUUCAUUUAAAAACUGUCAAGUACUCCUCGCAAAGGGGCACCUUGUACGUAUUAAUCAAAAACUAAAAAAAUUGUAGUUUUUGAAAAAAAUCGAAAUUUCGGUUUUUUACAAUUAACAUGUACUUUUUUAGAUCAAAAAUUUUGCAUAACUUUUUUGUUAUUAAAGAUAGAGCGUUCAUUUAAAAACUGUCAAGUACUCCUUGCAAAGGGACACCUUGUACGUAAUAAUCAAAAACUAAAAAAAUUGUAGUUUUUGAAAAAAACCGAAAUUUCUGUUUUUUACAAUUAACAUGUACUUUUUUAGAUCAAAAAUUUUGCAUAACUUUUUUGUUAUUAAAGAUAGAGCUUUCAUUUAAAAACUGUCAAGUACUCCUCGCAAAGGGGCACCUUGCACGUAUUAAUCAAAAACUAAAAAAAUUGUAGUUUUUGAAAAAAACCGAAAUUUCUGUUUUUUACAAUUAACAUGUACUUUUUUAGAUCAAAAAUUUUGCAUAACUUUUUUGUUAUUAAAGAUAGAGCUUUCAUUUAAAAACUGUCAAGUACUCCUCGCAAAGGGGCACCUUGUACGUAUUAAUCAAAAACUAAAAAAAUUGUAGUUUUUGAAAAAAAUCGAAAUUUCGGUUUUUUACAAUUAACAUGUACUUUUUUAGAUCGAAAAUUUUGCAUAACUUUUUUGUUAUUAAAGAUAGAGCUUUCAUUUAAAAACUGUCAAGUACUCCUAGCGAAGGGGCACCUUGUACGUAUUAAUCAAAAACUAAAAAAUUGUAGUUUUUGAAAAAAAUCGAAAUUUCGGUUUUUUACAAUUAACAUGUACUUUUUUAGAUCGAAAAUUUUGCAUAACUUUUUUGUUAUUAAAGAUAGAGCUUUCAUUUAAAAACUGCCAAGUACUCCUCGCAAAGGGGCACCUUGCACAUAAUUAUUAAAAUUUAAAAAAUUAUAGUUUUUGAGAAAAAUCGAAAUUUCGAUUUUUUACAAUUAUCAUGUACUUUUUUAGAUCGAAAAUUUUGCAUAACUUUUUUGUUAUUAAAGAUAGAGCGUUCAUUUAAAAACUGUCAAGUACUCCUCGCAAAGGGGCACCUUGUACGUAAUAAUCAAAAACUAAAAAAAUUGUAGUUUUUGAAAAAAAUCGAAAUUUCGGUUUUUUACAAUUAACAUGUACUUUUUUAGAUCGAAAAUUUUGCAUAACUUUUUUGUUAUUAAAGAUAGAGCGUUCAUUUAAAAACUGUCAAGUACUCCUCGCAAAGGGGCACCUUGUACGUAAUAAUCAAAAACUAAAAAAAUUGUAGUUUUUGAAAAAAAUCGAAAUUUCGGUUUUUUACAAUUAACAUGUACUUUUUUAGAUCGAAAAUUUUGCAUAACUUUUUUGUUAUUAAAGAUAGAGCUUUCAUUUAAAAACUGUCAAGUACUCCUCGCAAAGGGGCACCUUGUACGUAAUAAUCAAAAACUAAAAAAAUUGUAGUUUUUGAAAAAAAUCGAAAUUUCGGUUUUUUACAAUUAACAUGUACUUUUUUAGAUCGAAAAUUUUGCAUAACUUUUUUGUUAUUAAAGAUAGAGCGUUCAUUUAAAAACUGUCAAGUACUCCUCGCAAAGGGGCACCUUGUACGUAAUAAUCAAAAACUAAAAAAAUUGUAGUUUUUGAAAAAAAUCGAAAUUUCGGUUUUUUACAAUUAACAUGUACUUUUUUAGAUCGAAAAUUUUGCAUAACUUUUUUGUUAUUAAAGAUAGAGCUUUCAUUUAAAAACUGUCAAGUACUCCUCGCAAAGGGGCACCUUGUACGUAUUAAUCAAAAACUAAAAAAAAUGUAGUUUUUGAAAAAAAUCGAAAUUUCGGUUUUUUACAAUUAACAUGUACUUUUUUAGAUCGAAAAUUUUGCAUAACUUUUUUGUUAUUAAAGAUAGAGCGUUCAUUUAAAAACUGUCAAGUACUCCUCGCAAAGGGGCACCUUGUACGUAAUAAUCAAAAACUAAAAAAAAUGUAGUUUUUGAAAAAAAUCGAAAUUUCGGUUUUUUACAAUUAACAUGUACUUUUUUAGAUCGAAAAUUUUGCAUAACUUUUUUGUUAUUAAAGAUAGAGCUUUCAUUUAAAAACUGCCAAGUACUCCUCGCAAAGGGGCACCUUGCACAUAAUUAUUAAAAUUUAAAAAAUUAUAGUUUUUGAGAAAAAUCGAAAUUUCGAUUUUUUACAAUUAACAUGUACUUUUUUAGAUCGAAAAUUUUGCAUAACUUUUUUGUUAUUAAAGAUAGAGCGUUCAUUUAAAAACUGUCAAGUACUCCUUGCAAAGGGACACCUUGUACGUAAUAAUCAAAAACUAAAAAAAUUGUAGUUUUUGAAAAAAACCGAAAUUUCUGUUUUUUACAAUUAACAUGUACUUUUUUAGAUCAAAAAUUUUGCAUAACUUUUUUGUUAUUAAAGAUAGAGCUUUCAUUUAAAAACUGUCAAGUACUCCUUGCAAAGGGACACCUUGUACGUAAUAAUCAAAAACUAAAAAAAUUGUAGUUUUUGAAAAAAACCGAAAUUUCUGUUUUUUACAAUUAACAUGUACUUUUUUAGAUCAAAAAUUUUGCAUAACUUUUUUGUUAUUAAAGAUAGAGCUUUCAUUUAAAAACUGUCAAGUACUCCUCGCAAAGGGGCACCUUGCACGUAUUAAUCAAAAACUAAAAAAAUUGUAGUUUUUGAAAAAAACCGAAAUUUCUGUUUUUUACAAUUAACAUGUACUUUUUUAGAUCAAAAAUUUUGCAUAACUUUUUUGUUAUUAAAGAUAGAGCUUUCAUUUAAAAACUGUCAAGUACUCCUCGCAAAGGGGCACCUUGUACGUAUUAAUCAAAAACUAAAAAAAUUGUAGUUUUUGAAAAAAAUCGAAAUUUCGGUUUUUUACAAUUAACAUGUACUUUUUUAGAUCGAAAAUUUUGCAUAACUUUUUUGUUAUUAAAGAUAGAGCUUUCAUUUAAAAACUGUCAAGUACUCCUAGCGAAGGGGCACCUUGUACGUAUUAAUCAAAAACUAAAAAAUUGUAGUUUUUGAAAAAAAUCGAAAUUUCGGUUUUUUACAAUUAACAUGUACUUUUUUAGAUCGAAAAUUUUGCAUAACUUUUUUGUUAUUAAAGAUAGAGCUUUCAUUUAAAAACUGCCAAGUACUCCUCGCAAAGGGGCACCUUGCACAUAAUUAUUAAAAUUUAAAAAAUUAUAGUUUUUGAGAAAAAUCGAAAUUUCGAUUUUUUACAAUUAUCAUGUACUUUUUUAGAUCGAAAAUUUUGCAUAACUUUUUUGUUAUUAAAGAUAGAGCUUUCAUUUAAAAACUGUCAAGUACUCCUCGCAAAGGGGCACCUUG
rnacentral:lncRNA from 1 species